GAGUAGGGGUGAUCAUCUCAUUGAGAAGUAUACGGUGCAAAAAAGUUUUUCAAAACACUUCAGGAUAAAUAACAGAUGAAUUCUUAAAACUGUUAAUCUCUGAUAUCUGUAAAGAUUACUCAGAGAACCUUUUACUCUCCUAUAAAGGAAAAAAAAACUUAAAAUGGAUAUGAGAAGUGAAGAAAUUGACCAUAGGAGAAAAUCAUCUCAGAUCCUGCUGCUAUUUCUAUCGCUUAACUCUUUACAUGGAGUCUGUUUCCAUGUCUGCACGUGAAUUCCUUUCUCAGAUCUAGCCAAGUG